UACGUAGGGGGCCAGCGUUGUCCGGAAUCAUUGGGCGUAAAGCGCGCGUAGGCGGUCAGGUAAGUCCGGUGUGAAAGUCAUAGGCUCAACCUAUGGAUGCCGCUGGAAACUGCCUGACUUGAGUCCGGAAGGGGCGAGUGGAAUUCCUGGUGUAGCGGUGAAAUGCGCAGAUAUCGGGAGGAACACCUAUGGCGAAGGCAGCUCGCUGGGACGUUACUGACGCUGAGACGCGAAAGCGUGGGGAGCAAACAGG
rnacentral:rRNA from 1 species